AUUGAACGCUGGCGGCAGGCCUAACACAUGCCAGUCGAGCGGAUGAAGGGAGCUUGCUCCUGGAUUCAGCGGCGGACGGGUGAGUAAUGCCUAGGAAUCUGCCUGGUAGUGGGGGAUAACGUCCGGAAACGGGCGCUAAUACCGCAUACGUCCUGAGGGAGAAAGUGGGGGAUCUUCGGACCUCACGCUAUCAGAUGAGCCUAGGUCGGAUUAGCUAGUUGGUGGGGUAAAGGCCUACCAAGGCGACGAUCCGUAACUGGUCUGAGAGGAUGAUCAGUCACACUGGAACUGACACACGGUCCAGACUCCUACGGGAGGCAGCAGGGGGGAAUAUUGGACAAUGGGCGAAAGCCUGAUCCAGCCAGGCCGCGUGUGUGAAGAAGGUCUUCGGAUUGUAAAGCACUUUAAGUUGGGAGGAAGGCAGUAAGUUAAUACCUUGCUGUUUUGACGUUACCAACAGAAUAAGCACCGGCUAACUUCGUG
rnacentral:rRNA from 1 species